CACGUAGGGCGCAAGCGUUGUCCGGAAUUAUUGGGCGUAAAGAGCUCGUAGGCGGUCUGUUGCGUCCGCUGUGAAAACCCGGGGCUUAACCCCUGGCUUGCAGUGGAUACGGACAGACUAGAGGUAGGUAGGGGAGAAUGGAAUUCCCGGUGUAGCGGUGAAAUGCGCAGAUAUCGGGAGGAACUCCGGUGGCGAAAGCGGCGCGCUGGACCUCUUCUGACGCUGAGGCGCGAAAGCUAGGGGAGACAA
rnacentral:rRNA from 1 species